CGUGACAGGUUGGAAAAAAAGUGCAAGGAACUGUAUUGAAGGAAAGACGAAAAGGCUGGGGCCUUGGGUAUUGUAGACGUAGAGUGAGGAAUUUUUCAGUAGCUGGGUAAAACUCUUCAGGUUAUCUGCACAGAUGCCAUUCAGUGUCCCGUGUAAACUGCUACAGGGAUAGUCUUGACAAAUCUACCACUUCAAAGGCUCUUUUAAAACUGGCUGGGGACGUGGGGAGAAAGAUAGGCAGACGAAUGGAUAUCAGGCCACUUCUCCUGUUACUCUCUGUGUGUGGGCCAACUGGGGCCUCCAUGGUUGACUUGGACUAUGGAGGUGUACCACUCUGGAUCAACCGAUUUUUGGGAGAGCCAAGUGUGUUGACCUUAAAAGAUCGAAUGGACCCUGGAUGGUUUCGAGCAGUUAAUACGCAAAGUUGUCCCUUGGACUGCGACUGCCCGAUCCAGUGGCCCACAGCUCUCUACUGUGACAACAGGGGUCUUGAUCAGCUUCCCGUUGGCCUUCCACCUCGUACACAGUACCUUUUCCUCCAAGGCAAUGACAUCACUUCCCUCAGUUCCAGAGCGUUUGCCAAUGCCACUAACUUGCGCUGGUUGCUCUUGGAUCACAACCAGCUACUGAGUGAGCAACUCGAUAAUGCGCUGUUCUCCAAUCUGACCUUCUUGGUAAAUCUCUUCAUUAACAAUAAUAACCUGACAGAGGUGCCAACUGGACUUCCCAGGGGUCUCAAACAGCUGCGACUUGCAUAUAAUCAUAUUGAGAAGAUUUCUCCGGGUGUUUUCCAAAAUCUGGAGAGCCUAACGUUACUUCUGUUGCAAGGCAAUCGUCUGAAGACUAUUGAAGAGGGUGACUUCAAAGGUCUUGUAGUCCUCAACUUACUUGAUCUCAGUCACAACCUCCUGGACACUUUCCCCAAACAUCUGCCCUCAUCUGUCCAGCAGCUUUACCUUUCGAACAACUCUUUGACUGGCUUAACCGAGAACAGUCUUCAAGGUUUUAAUAGACUCCAUUAUCUACGGCUUGGACACAACAAACUGGCGAAUGAAGGGCUGCACCGUGAAGCCUUUAAUCUCACAUCUCUGGUAGAGCUGGACCUAUCAUAUAACCAGCUGACAGAAAUCCCAACUGUUCCCACUACCCUUCAGUAUCUUUAUCUGGAGGUUAACCAUAUCCAAGGUAAAUUGGUAUAAGAUUCCUGUGUUAAAUAAACAAAAGCACUGGAGGUUGGUUCUGUAGCACUAUGAAAACAAGACUGUGACAUCUGCUGCAUUUCAAAAGUGACAUGAAAAUUCAGUACAGAGGAAAUUUCAAGCAUUGCUUCAUGAUUUGGAGAGCCAUUUAAAUUUACUGCAUGUUCUCAAAGGGACAAGAGGUUUAUAAUGGAGAGAAAGCACUGCUGAUCCUAUGAAAUCUCUGGACGAGGGCAGAUUUAUUUCCUGUGUUGAUGUAUUUCCUAUUGAAACAGGAAGAUUGGGCAGGACAUGUUGAAAGGAUCAAUGAGAUGAAUGUUAUUUAUUUAAUUAGUGAGGGUGACCAUAGUUUAAUAGUAUUUGUAAUAAAACCACAGUAACCACAAAUCCACCAUGGUUAGGUUAAAUACUGGACAAAAGAUUGAUUUUGAGGUAAUUUUAUCAAACACUUAAUAACUUUAUGUAAAAUUCCUGAAAUUAUCACAUUUAUUAUGAGAUGAACAGGCUCCCCUUAAAACAUAUUGUUUUAAGCUGGGGGAAUAGAUGUGUGAUGGAGAAUGUUCAAAGUGGGCUCCAGCUCACAUUGACUGAUCCAAUCACAAUGGAGAUUCAUUUGUUUAUAGAGUACUUGAGAUGUUAUGAAAUGCCAAAUAUGAUUGAAAUCAACAGGAAGUUGUGCACCCUUUUCAUAAGUUCAUAUUUUGAAUAGGCAUUAUCUUAAUUUGUUACUCAAAAAAGUAUUUUGUUGUCUCAAAAAGUAUUUGCAUAAGUUGACAAAUUUUGCCCUACAACUAUUACCCCUUUAUCUAUACUAUAUCACUAUAAUCCUCUGGGGACCUUUUACCCCAAGUGACGUCAAAAUGAAUCAGAGUUCCCAACACUAAAUAUAAGGGAACUGUUUAUAUUAACUGGUUCAUUUAUGAACUGUUCGAAAGAACCGUUUCACAAAUUAUUUUGAUUUCCCAGUGCUAUAUGAGAGAAAGAGAGAUGGGGCGGUUCAGGUGAGUGUGUUGGAUUACUCCCUCUGCGCCUUUUCUGCAUACGCAAUACAGUGUGAGAAAUGUAGUGUUUGAGACGCUAAAGCGCUACUCUUGGAAAAUGUACAGCAGCUGGUUACUGGAAAAGCUAUUGUAAAAAUAGCUUGACAACUGUCACACUACUGAAAAAUGUUAUUAAGUUAGUAGCAGGGACUAAAACCGAAAUGCUUUUCAUUUCAGUAUGCUUUGAACAGAAAUAGUUUUUUUUUUUUUCGUUCCGGUUCUGCCAUUCUGCAGCCUCCUUUCCAAAUAGCAACCGGUUAAGGAAAGAAAAAAACGGUUAAUUUUAAAAUGACAGUACUCUGUGCUAAGGGUGGGUGAUAUAACAGUUGCAGUGUUGCCAGAUCUCACAAGAGAAACAAGCGAACUGGUCUGGAAAAACAAGCUAAAAAUAAGGGACUUGCCUCACCCAAAAUAAGACCAAAAAAAAAAAUAAAAAUCCUGUGUGGGGGAAUUAUUAGCAUAGAAUUCAUAACAAACAUAGUAUAGAGUAGCCUAUAUAAAAUAACGUAUUUUCAAUAUAUGUAUACUUGAUAUUAAAUAUAUAAAAUUAUAUAUAUUUUAAAUAUGCCUCCAACAACUAUCUAAAAUGUAUUAAUAGCUUAAAUCUCUCUUUCCUGAGAGAGCAUUGUGUGGGCACAUUUGGGCAAAAUGUUACCUUAAAUGGUCUGAAUUAUUUUAGAUUUUUUAAAUCUUGGUGUACCCACAGAGAAUGCAUGCACAUACCAUGUUCUUCUGUAGCUGAUAAAGUCCUGAAUCAACCUGAAAUCAUAUUUUGUUACGUUUUGUUUUUGGCUUUCGUUUUUGCUCUAUGAUCCGUUUUCAGUCCCUGGUCAGUAGCGUUGCUACUUUUUAUUUAACUAUACCCCAACACUGCUUGCUAGUUGGUGGCAGGUGGUUUUAGGGGGAGAGACAUUCUCGUUCUAGCAUCUGAUUGGACAAAAUCUAAUUUUGGUUAGUUUUCCAGAAAGAUAAAUCUACUAAAAGUUCAUUUUGUCAACUUUUAAGAGUACACUAGCAUAGGCUAAUAAGCUAAUAGGCAUGGACGAAAAGCCACAAAACUACAACUUUGAUUUAAUGGAGUCUUUAAAUUUAAGCACAAGAGAUGUUUUUAAACAUAAAGCUGUAAGCAGGCCAAACAUUUGACUGGGAACUGCUACAAUGUUUGUGUCCAGAUCAACAGUGUUCUCGGAAGAGACCAUGUUUUCAGACCAAAGAAAUAAUCCUUCCUUGGCAUAGCAGAAUCAAAAUUCAGAACCAGACUAGCCAUGAGAAAAAUGUCGGAAAAUGUGACAGAAUUUUGGAAGAACAAUGACAAACUUCCCCUCCUCUCUGAGUUUCCAUUUCCCUCUUUCUCACUGUCCAAAGUGUUUGUCACAAUGUGUCUGAAGCUAGCAAGAAAAAGUGGGUUAGCUGAAGGAGGGACCAUGGGUGAUGGAGAGAGGAAAAAAUAGGGAAGAAAAAAGGUUUGAGAACAUCUGUGAACACUCCAGAAGGAAUCCACAUAUGUUAAAAGUACGCACUGUUCUCUCCCCUCCUCCUCAGAAGCACACCAGACUCAGUUACAAGGCAUUGGUUGACUGCAACGACUUCAGCAGGCUUUCAUUUUUUAGACAGUGAUCAUGAUUCACUGUUUUUUUUUAACCAUACAGCAAAAUCUCAUGCCAUGAACAGUGGUUUACCAGCUCAUCUGUAGUGUUAAUGCAUCUGAGUGAAGUAUAAUAUUCAAAAUAUUAACAAGCCAUUACUGAGAAAACAGAUGAUUUUUAUAUUAGUGUGCAAGAGGAAGGUCCAUGAAAAUGUUUAACAGACUGUCACCUUGUUUCAUUAACUGAAUGUAUUGACUAGCCCCACUCAAGGCAGGAAACAGUGUGGAGACGUUUCUGUUUUUCACAUAGAUCUCCUGCCUUAGCUGGUUUGCUGGUCUUAGCUGGUCUCAUGAGCAACAUGGGGUAAAGUGCCAUGCUCAGAAGAGGAGCCUCUGUUACUUUUUUUUUUUUCAGUUCAUAAGUUAUCCCUAAGCUUAUACCGCAAACUUAGCAUUAGCAGCCCAGAGCACCUUCAAUGUCCAAAACAGUUUGAACAGAACUGGCAAAUUUCUAUACCUGUAACUUAUUUUCACAGUAUGGGAAUGCAGCUCCUGUUUAAGAGGGCUUAUUUUACAGUGUGAGAACAGCGAUUGAUGCCUUCUUCAAAUUUCCUUCAAUAACAUCACAUUAAAGACCCCAUGAAAUAGCUUGACGGGCGCAUUUUCUUUCCUGUGUUGACAUAUUUUCUAUUGCAACAGCAAGCUUGAGCAGUACAUAUUAAAGAACUUGUCCAUAUUUUUUUCUUUAUUUGGCCAAGAAACUUUAGUUUACGUCAGAGCUAAAUAAUUGCUACAGAGAAAUUUAAAAAAUCAAAUAACAUAAGACCAAA